UUUCGCGUUUCACCACGCCUCCCAUCCGUGGAGCAGGAAUCCCAUUCUUAUAUGGAUGCUUUGCUUUCUGAAACAGUUUAGAAGUUCAGUGCGCAAGUCCGAUUACAUGGCCUUGAGAUUGGGUUUCAUCACCAAUCACAAGCUGCCGCC